rnacentral:precursor_RNA from 1 species
CCAGAAGGUGGAGGUUGCAGUGAGCUGAGAUUGUGCCACACUGCACUCCAGCCUGGGU